GUAGGAGCCGGUUUGCUGGCGAUAGCAUCUGUGCGGUGCACCCGUUACACCGCGCCGCAUGGAUCGCCAGCAAGCCGGCUCCUAC
rnacentral:misc_RNA from 1 species